rnacentral:lncRNA from 1 species
GCCGCACUCCCGAGGUUGGGGAGCGCGUGCCCGUCUCCCCGCAGAGCGAGACGCCCGCGGCUGGAUGCAAACCAGAGGUCCCUACAACUCCGGCUGGCGAACCGCAGGUGGGAGCUCUCGGCUGCCAGGCUCCGGACAGGCCCCCAGCUCACCCCACUUCAGCUUCGUGGCCGCAAGAGCCGCCAGAGUGGGAGACAGGUCUGUAGUUCCGACAAGGUCCGCUCCAGUGUCGACGCGGUGGACACGGCUGCGGGGGCCAGGGGACAACAGCUGCUUUAAAGCCGGGAGCAACCCACAGGUGGCCUGUCAGGGAAACGGACGUCCGUGACGUCAUCCUGAAGGUCAAACAGGAGAAUAAGCUUAUCUGUGAAGAGAUACACAAGCGGCAGACUGGAAGGGAGAUUCCACCGUAUUUGUAGUAGUUACAGAAAAUUUCAAACAUAAGCAAAGCCAAUGCACUAAAAGCAGUCAAAAAACAAUAAACACAAAAAAGAGAUGAUAUUUGCGUGGAGACCCGAAUAAUCUGAAGGAGGCUUAUGCAAGAAAAUGUGGUGGGAGUCUGUGCGGAAAAGAUGAGGCAAAGGCUGGAGGGAUCCAAGAGCGUGUAAGAGACUGAAUGAGGUAACAUAGCCCAAAGGCAAGUAAAGGCCAUGG